UACAGAGGUCUCAAGCGUUGUUCGGAUUCAUUGGGCGUAAAGGGUGUGUAGGUGGCGCGCUAAGUCGGGUGUGAAAUUUCGUAGCUUAACUCCGAAACUGCAUUCGAUACUGGCGUGCUUGAGGACUGGAGAGGAGACUGGAAUUCAUGGUGUAGCAGUGAAAUGCGUAGAGAUCAUGAGGAAGACCAGUGGCGAAGGCGGGUCUCUGGACAGUUCCUGACGCUGAGGCACGAAGGUCAGGGGAGCAAACGGG
rnacentral:rRNA from 1 species